rnacentral:rRNA from 1 species
CGUAGAACAACGGAAUGCGACGGCUACAACAUAAACAAAGUUACCCGGCGAACGAUACUACUCGGAAACCGUAGUAAAACUAGGGCUAAUACAAGAGAAAGACCUCACAGGAGGCGAGAUAAUUAGAAUGAAAACCAUAUGCUUCGGCAUGAUAGUGAGUAAUAGUAACCUAUCGUAUCGCAUGCUUGAUGUAGCGAUGAGUCUUUCAAGCUUCUGCCCUAUCAGCUUUCGAUGGUAGUAUAUGGGCCUACCAUG